CUGUAAUCUUGAGAACGAAGGCGAUAUUGAUGGGCGAGUAUAUCAUCUAAAACUGCAAUAACUAGUAGACCGGCUAAAACUGGAUCAGAAAGAUUAACCUUAAUAUCAAAAGCUUACAUUAAGAAACCGUACAGUGUAAUUCUACGUGAUUUCGGUAAACACAACGAACCGACAUGAUUGUUACCUAAUCAAUUCUCAGCUGUUUCAUACGGAAUUGCAGUAUUUUAUACUUGACACUACAUCAUAUUUAUGACCUGCGUGUCCAAAAAUAAAUGCAGUUGUAAUUUUCAAGAUUUAUGCGUUCACAAUUACCUAG